GCCUGGCUGGCUCAGUUGGUAGGGCAUGGGACUCUUGAUCUCAGGGUCGUGAUUUUGAGCCCCACGAUGGGCG
rnacentral:tRNA from 1 species